rnacentral:RNase_P_RNA from 1 species
AGGUAAACCCCACCUGGAGCAAGGCCAAAUAGGAAUUCUUUGACGUGGUCCGCGUUGAAUUCGGGUAGGCCGCUCGAGGCUGCUGGUGACGGUAGCCCUAGAUGAAUGACUGUCCUCGACAAAACCCGGCUUAUAGGCUGACUCACGCU